GAUGAAGAACGUAGCGAAAUGCGAUAAGUAGUGUGAAUUGCAGAAUUCAGUGAAUCAUCGAAUCUUUGAACGCACAUUGCGCCCUGUGGUAUUCCGCAGGGCAUGCCUGUUCGAGCGUCAUUUCAACCCUCAAGCUCUGCUUGGUGUUGGGCCACGCCCUCGCGGCCGGCCCCAAAGCCAGUGGCGGCGCCGUCCGGCUCUAAGCGUAGUACAUCUCUCGCUCUAGGGCCCGGCGGCUGCCUGCCAGAACCCCAAACUCUUAUGGUUGACCUCGGAUCAGGUAGGGAUACCCGCUGAACUUAAGCAUAUCAAUAAGCGGAGGA
rnacentral:misc_RNA from 1 species